CAAGGAGACCAACACCAGAAGGCCUGCUAACACUCCCAUGCCCGCCCAUUCCUUCAGAUGAUUCAUGGCUGCAGCAAUCCAUGUUGAUAAUCCUGUGGCUAGUCCUGCGUCCACUCUGGUAGAACAAUGGCCACUCUCAGCGAAGGACAAAUAUGACCGGACUACUUUUUAAAGGGCCUUCUCCAUAGGAUUGGAUUUCAUACACUGCACUGUUCUUCCUGUUGUGGUGAUUCUCAACUAUACAAUUAUGCCUCUGACAUGAACUGAUUGGCCUGCUCUUUGAUCACCUCCACCUGAGGGGGGGAGCAGCCUUACCAGGCCACAGAGGAUGAAAAUGCAGCCA